ACAGAAGACAUUUGGGAUGAAACAGUCUCUCUUUGUGUGGCCCUGUGUGGCCUUCCCCCCACAUCCCCAGCAUUUCCCCCACGGCCCCUUCUCCUGAUUGUCCUCAACACCAGCCACUGUCCUCUAUUUGUUCCCGAAAUUGCGAAGCCUUCCAGAGAUUGCCAGAUCUCCCUGGGAGGGCAGCCUUAGAGAAUAAUAACGCUGGGAUCUAAAAUUAAGCAGGUUGCCCUAACAUUCCAAGAAUAGCCCCAGCACACCCAAUGCACUCCUUUAAUGUCUUAUUCAAGAGGAAAGAAUGACCUCUUUUAAUCUAGAACACCUUGGAAAUGCGCCGUUUCAAACAGGUCCCAAGCAGAUCCUCACUUUGGCCACAACUCAAAAGUGGGUUGGCGCAUGCAGGCGGAAACGCUGGAGGGCUUCUGGGAUCCGGAGUGAAACGCCUCACACAUACAAAAUACUCUUUGGCCAACCGAAGGAUGCUAACAGGAGGGGAUUUACUAAGUAAAAGGGAGUGAGAAAAAACACGUUGGUGAUUCAGAAAAUGAUUCAAGGGCUGGGAAUGGGGCUCACCUUGUAGAGUGACUGCCUAGCGUGAAGGAAGUUCAAGGCCAAUCUCAGCUACAAAGGGGUUCAAGGCUAGCCUAGGCUAGUAAGACUCUGUCUCAAAAACAAAACAAAAGCAAACAAAAACCCAAAAGAUUUAAGAUCGUUUCAGGCCAAAUGGUUUUUUGUUGUUGUUGUUGUUGUUGUUUUCUCCUGCUUCAUUAAAGAAAACCCCACUUCAUAACAUCUUUUUACUCCGGCCCAUUCCUAAGCCAGGAACCAGUUACACUCUGGAUCUAAGAGGAAAUGACGCUGAAAAGCUGAUCUUAUGGUAUGAUGACAGUUUCUUCCUUAUUUGAAAAAAAUAAGGAAGUUAGUUUAAAAAAGCUAGCAACUUUGUUUCAAACUAAGUAGGCUCUAACUGACAUUUGCUGCUAUAAUUAAAUUACUGGAAACCCCCAAAUGCUAGAGUAUCAACAUCCCUCCUGUUUAUUCUAGAACUCAAUGGAAAAAACAAAUGCUUACAUGAAGACCUCCUGCAAUUCAAAAGUCAACCACCCUUGUCUUUGCAGCCUGAAAACCCAGGCAGCCCUGUCCAGUACCAUUACUCAUGCAGUUAACUGCAGCUCAGAGUAAAGCUGGAAGCUACAGACAGCAGCCUGCAGACCAGGAACUCAAUAGGAGGAAGCAGGUUUAGAAUAGCAACGGGUGCCCCCCACGCCACCCCGAAAUAUUUCACAAGAAAUGUUUGAUUCCAUUUCAGAUGUGGAAAGAGAGCAUGUUUUUCCCACCAAGACUGGAAACAGGAAAGGUCAGGGGCCGUAACCUAUGACCAUGUCCUAUCUGGAAACUGAAGACAGCGGAGCCAGUGACUAGUCAGGAAGGCAUGACUUAGGAGAAGUGACUGAGCAGUGGGGGUGUGCCUGAUGAGGAAACUCAGCUCAAAGGCUGUGCGCGGGUCUGUAUGCAGGAGAGAGAGUCACACAGUAUACAAGACGGGGAGUUUUGUGGCUUGUUGUUGUUUUCACAAAGGGAGCUGGGGGGAAGGCUUACUGGGUAAAGUAUCUGUCAUACAUGCAGGAGUCCCCAGGACCCCCCUAAAGCUACUUACAGUAGUGCCUGUCUGGAAUCACAGCUCUCCUGUGUGAGACCGGAGGCAGAGACAGGAGAACCCCUGGAAGCUGAUGGCCAGCUAACUUGGAGGUCCACAGUGGUGAAGUGGGAGACUGUCUCCAACAAGGUGGAAGGCAAGUCCCGCCCCCAAGGCUGUCCUGUGACUUCUACUCAUGUUGUAUGGACUCAAAGCACCAUGGGACAGCUGCUGCUACCAUGAACAGAAUCACAUACAGAGGAACUGGCCAGGGACUCCCACCAUACAGGCUCCGACAGUGACCUCUGUCAAACCAGAACAAGAGUCUCCACCAGAGCCAGAGCCUCUUGAGGCUGGAGCUUCCCUGUGGCCUGCUGCUCCUCUCCAGCACGGAUGACCACUCUCCUCUCUCACGUGCUCCCUGGGAACACACCACAGGAGAUACACGGGAGUCAACCUAUGACACAGACAGGAUCUCUCAAUGAACCGGAAGCUAAACGCUGUUUUGGCUGGCUGCCAGGGAGCUUCCAGGAUCCAUCUGCUACCACAGCACAGCGAUGGGACUCCAGCUGUCGGCAGCCAUGCCCGGAGUGUUCCUUAGUGCUGGGGAUUUGAACUCAUGUUUGCACAGCAAAUGCUCUAACCACGGCGCUGUCUCCCCAGCCCAUGAGCACUGUUUUUGCUGAAAAAAUACUAUUCAUGAGAAAUUUAAACUUCCAUCUACUCAUAAAUUUACUUAAAUUCCAUCUAAAACAUGUUAGCAAAACAUGUUAAAUUCUCCCUGGGUGCCAACUAAAUAAAACCCAUUUUUCCAGGCUGAAGAGUACUUGCUGUUCUUGUAGGGGACCCAGUGUCCAGUUCCCAGCACCCAAAUGCCUAACCCCAGUUCCAGGGGCUCCACUACCCUCUUCUGGCUUUGCAUGGCCCUGCACACACAUUUAUACACAACACAUACGUUAAUGAAACUGUACACUUCCAAGCUCUCCCUGUAAACUCAGACAGAGGACUAGUUGAGAGAGGGACGCGGUGGCCACGUGAUGCGUGAGUUCGCU